rnacentral:sRNA from 1 species
AGGAGAAGGGGGAGUGCUACUAUAUAUAUAUAUAUAUAUAUGCACUCCU